rnacentral:tRNA from 3 species
CACUAAGAAGCUAAACUGGGCUCAGCGUUAGCCUUUUAAGCUAAAGAAUGGUGGCUCCCAAUCACCCUUAGUGA